rnacentral:lncRNA from 1 species
CAAGGUCGAUCAACAACUACUUUUUUUGGAUCCAUAAGAAGCUUGUGAGAAAGCCACUUAGGAGCAGUCAGACGUAUUGACACUUUCUGAAGAAAAAGGAGAGAUGAUGCUACUCUUCACACCAGGGUUGAUCAUAUGAAUGCAAUUGUCACGUGAGUUCAACACUCCAUGGCUGCUUCCAGAAAACCUGAUAUAAUAGAAAAUUAUCUGCAAUCAGAGAAUGGGUUUUCUGUUCCUGUUUGAGGAAAAAGAAUUAAAUGAAAGGAUAAGGGGAAGGGGAGAGCAAAGGAAAGAAGGAGGGAAAUUGUCAAGAAUAGGAGAGACGUUGUAGCUGGGGGAAUAGUGAUUUAAUCUCAUUUUAUCUGAUGCUUCCCAUUGUUGUUUUUUUUUUUUUAACAGAAGUGAAUGGAGAACAGCUAAAGCAAAUUCCUCCAUCCCUGCACAUACAGGAAGGAGAAGACUUCAUCAUAUACUGCAACUACUCAAGCACAAUCGACAGUUUACAGUGGUACAAGCAGAAGCCUGGGGGAAGUCCUGUCUUCUUGAUGAUAAUAGUGAAGGAUGGAGAUGUGAAGAAGCAGGGAAGACUGACAGCUCAACUUGGAAAAACAAGAAAGGACAGCUCCCUGCACAUCGUGGCCACCCAGGCGAUAGAUGUGGGAACCUACUUUUGCGCAGUGACACAGUGCUCCCCCAACACCUGCUGCCUGUCCGCAAACCUUUCCCAGGGGCUUCUGGAGCAGCUUCUCUUCUCCCCACUCAGGAGGCAGAGAAAGCUGAAGUUGCACUGUCUGCAAAGAACCAGUACCACUCUUCCUUGUGGUAGUAGGAAUGCAUGCAGAAAUUCACUCUGUAAGGCAUGGAGAAGUUUGAUGGUUUGAUUUUCUAAAAUUAUCAGUGAAUGAAUGCAUAAAGAAAUUGUAGAGCUUGAUUACAUGUGGCACAAUAUUAUUCAGUAAUAAAAAUGGAUGAAAUAUUGUCAUUUACAGCAAUAUGAAUGGAACUUGAAUGUGUUAGGUGAAAUAAGACAGAC